AAGUACUAUGACGUCAAAGUGUAAUCGCAACUGUGGAACCGCGUUAAACCACGUGGUACGUUAAAUCGUUAAAGCGUGAAUCUUCUCUAUUUCCAUUCACAAGUAUAAGUUCGCUGGAGAUGAUGGAUAAAACCGAGAUCAAGUACCAAGUACCAAUCUUCAAGUAUCAAGUACUCGCUACCCGCGAAGAUCGUAAGAACACUAAAGGUGCGACGUAACAGUGACCGUACUACGAAAAUCGUCGUAUCGUGUUAUCGUUAUCCAAUGACGAUAUAACUACGUAGAGGAAGAAACUGUAAAGAGGCGCUGCGAGUGCGGGAAGUGUAAAAUGUAAAAAGUGGUAAAGUGGAAUAAAACUGCACUAUGCCGUUUGCAAGCAUAAGUUUUGAACGUAAUAUCCACUACCCAUGUAAUUGACGAACUCGUUACUCGGACGUGUGAUCUGCCGACGGCACUUACGAUUCGAGACGUUCAGUGAUCAAAUAGACAAGUGAGAUUCAAAGCCCGGUAAGAAGAUUGCAUUUGCUCAGUAGCACCGAUCGGUAAGAUACUCUGGAGAACUGUUAAGCCGUAAGCUAUAACGCAAUAACCAGUUUUACUAAAAUGCAAUAAAAAUCCCGCAAUAUAUAAAUAUAUUGUUUUGCAUGGCGCAAUAUUUAAUAUUUUUACGAAAUUAGAUGAUAGACGUUUCGCGGAACAUUCAAGUGUUCUUGGGAGUCUUCAGGUUCUUUCGCGAUACAAAUUUUUCUUCAACUUAGUGUCUGCCUUUGCGAAAUUCAAGAUCUAAAUUUUAUAUAGCCCGUAAAUGGUAUCAUGUAAUCCUACGCACAGUCAUAUCAAAUAUCAAUAUUGAGCAAAGUCGCGCGACUUCGCUGUAGCUUAGAAAAUGUGUUGCGUAGUAUAUCGUCUCGGGGUCUAGAUCGAGUCGAGUCGAAUGAAGAAUGCGAGGCAAGACGGUACGUCCCUGCCUUCGGUGGGCAGAUAGGGUAUAAUCAUACCGAGUUUCGUAUCUCGAGGGGGGCCACGGGAAGAUGGUCCAACAUCUGCCGCUGCAGGGAAUCUCUGCCCACAUGCUGGCCGGCCCGCGCGCGCACGCACACGCACACGCGCACGCACACGGCACGGUACGCGCGUGUGUACCGGCCGCCUGUACAACACACGCGCACACGCGACGCACACGCGUGUACGCACGGCAAAAAGUGACGUAGGUACACGGUGGGACGUCAUGUAAAUUCAUUCGAAACACAUGGCAGGGCUCAUGGCGGCGCGGCGCGGCGUUCCUCUAGCGCGCAAAGGGUUUCGAAAGAGAAAUCUCCGAAGAGCAGGGCGCGCGGAAAAACAAACGAUAACUUCGACUUCAACUUCGCGUGUGCGCCCCCUUAGUACCGUUAUUCCGUGCAACGUCGCCGCGGCCGUCGAGCGUGGAUAAAUUUGGAUUUCUUUUCUUCCCGGAGCCACUUUAGCAAUGCGAUAUUUUAGUCGGCUACAAGUCAUCGCAGUUUUAUUUCGUGUAAAAAUGUUUAAUGAAAAAAUUCUAUUGAAAUUAAUUUCGACAGAAUUUGUAAGUUAAUAAAUCAUAAUAUUCUAUCUAUGAAUAUAUUUAUUAAUCAAUAUAAUUAACGAAGAAUUCUUGUGAAUUUCAUUAGGUAUACAUUCAGAUGAAACCUAUUAUAAUUUAGAUAUGGAUUAAUUAUGUACAAUAUAAAAUAUCGGCUUUAUUAAAAGAUAGUUUAUGCAUGACAUACUUUAUCACGAAUACGUUAAUUGGUUACUUCAUUAUUUUAAUAAAUACAUUCCUCUUGCGUAACGCAUAAAUUUAUUAUAUUCCCGUGAACGUGCGAAUUAGCUGCAAUUUAAUUUUAGUCGAUAGAUACUCAUCUUUGUUAUUAUUUACACUAGCCUACAUUACGUUAUAUCAUUACAUUUUCUGCUACACAAAAUAAAUCUGUGCUUCCAAUAA